UUAAUCAUCAUCGGCUUCCUUAGUUUUCUUUGUUCCCGAAUGGUAGUUAGCUACCGUUGGGGUUAAAUGUGUAAUUUCCAUGUGUUUUCAAGCAAAAUCUGAAAUGGGAACAGCCGAACAGCAAUGUUUUCGUUAAGUUUUCUUAAAUACUUGAGCAAUAAGAUAGGUCCAAAUAAACUGGAAAUAAGCUUCUACACGCGCACCUCUAUCAGCUCACAAUAAAACUCUCAGUCUUGGAUUUGGAUUUGGCAUAAAUUGUUUUACACCUUCCAAAUAUCAAUGGAAAAUGGAAGGAAAAGGAUCUUUCAAUGAAUGUUGAUCCAAGCAAUUAUUCUAAGUAUGAGGGGUACCAAUCUUGAAGAACUGAAUGUUUUGAACCUUUCAUCCAAGCAUUACCAUCACCAUGAAUAACAAGGAAGAUUUUAAGGUGU
rnacentral:lncRNA from 1 species